AGGCUUAACACAUGCAAGUCGAGGGGAAACGAUAUUGGAAGCUUGCUUCCGAUAGGCGUCGACCGGCGCACGGGUGAGUAACGCGUAUCCAACCUGCCCACCACUUGGGGAUAACCUUGCGAAAGUAAGACUAAUACCCAAUGACGUCUCUAGAGGACAUCUGAAAGAGAUUAAAGAUUUAUCGGUGAUGGAUGGGGAUGCGUCUGAUUAGCUUGUUGGCGGGGUAACGGCCCACCAAGGCUACGAUCAGUAGGGGUUCUGAGAGGAAGGUCCCCCACAUUGGAACUGAGACACGGUCCAAACUCCUACGGGAGGCAGCAGUGAGGAAUAUUGGUCAAUGGACGAGAGUCUGAACCAGCCAAGUAGCGUGCAGGAUGACGGCCCUAUGGGUUGUAAACUGCUUUUAUAAGGGAAUAAAGUGAGUCUCGUGAGGCUUUUUGCAUGUACCUUAUGAAUAAGGACCGGCUAAUUCCGUGCCAGCAGCCGCGGUAAUACGGAAGGUCCGGGCGUUAUCCGGAUUUAUUGGGUUUAAAGGGAGCGUAGGCCGGAGAUUAAGCGUGUUGUGAAAUGUAGAUGCUCAACAUCUGCACUGCAGCGCGAACUGGUUUCCUUGAGUACGCACAAAGUGGGCGGAAUUCGUGGUGUAGCGGUGAAAUGCUUAGAUAUCACGAAGAACUCCGAUUGCGAAGGCAGCUCACUGGAGCGCAACUGACGCUGAAGCUCGAAAGUGCGGGUAUCGAACAGGAUUAGAUACCCUGGUAGUCCGCACGGUAAACGAUGGAUGCCCGCUGUUGGUCUGAAUAGGUCAGCGGCCAAGCGA
rnacentral:rRNA from 1 species